AGUGUACAGAAGAGCAUAGAUGACAAACAUAAUCUGCAGUUUCUAAAUGUGAAGUCCUUCAGUCUUCAAAGAAGAAGGGUUUUUUGAGUUCCAAGGGAGUGUGUGAAGAUGGCUUCUUCAACUUUCAUUUCAAUGGUUAAAGCCGAUAUAAUCACAUUUGUGAUCAUGACCACACACCUCACUGCCAGUGCUGGAUGUGGGAAGUCCUGA